AAUCCUUCCUCUACUA
rnacentral:tRNA from 1 species